rnacentral:rRNA from 1 species
CAAGCGGUGGAGCAUGUGGUUUAAUUCGACGCAACGCGUAAGAACCUUACCAGGGCUUGACAUCUACAGAAUCUUGAGGAAACUCAGGAGUGCCCUUCGGGGAACUGUAAGACAGGUGGUGCAUGGUUGUCGUCAGCUCGUGUCGUGAGAUGUUGGGUUAAGUCCCGCAACGAGCGCAACCCCUAUGUUUAGUUGCUAGCGAGUAAAGUCGAGCACUCUAGACAGACUGCCGGUGAUAAACCGGAGGAAGGUGGGAUGACGUCAAAUCAUCAUGCCCCUUAUGUUCUGGGCUACACACGUGCUACAAUGGCCGGUACAAACGGAAGCGAAGCCGCGAGGUGAAGCAAAUCUGAUAAAACCGGUCUCAGUUCGGAUUGCAGGCUGCAACUCGCCUGCAUGAAGUCGGAAUCGCUAGUAAUCGCAGGUCAGCAUACUGCGGUCGAAUACGUUCCCGGGCCUU